rnacentral:lncRNA from 1 species
UUUCCUCCUAGGAUAAAAAGUCCUAGUCUGAUGGAUUUUCCUCCCAAUAUAAAUCUUAGUCUGAUGAAUUUUUCUCUUAAGAUAGAAAACCUAGUCUGAUGAACUUUCUCCUAGGAUCACAAUCUUAGUCUGAUAAAUAUUUCUCCUAAGAUAAGGACCUAGUCUGAUGAAUUUUCUCCUAGGAUCGAAGUCUUAGUGGGAUGAAUCUUUCUCCUAAGAUAAUAAAUUAGAAAACCUAGUCUGAUGAAUUUUCUCCUAGGAUCAAAAUCUUAGUCGGAUGAAUCUUUCUCCUAGAUACCAAAAAAAAAUAGACCUAGUCUGAUGAAUUUUCUCCUAGGAUCAAAAUCUUAGUCUAAUGAUUUUUUCUCCUAAGAUAGAAGACCUAGUCUAAUGAAAUUUCUUCUAGGAUCAAAAUCUUAGUCUGAUGAAUUUUUCUCCUAAGAUAGAAGACCUAGUCUGAUGAACUUUCUCUUAGGAUAAACGUCUUAGUCGGAUGAAUCUUUCUCCUAAGAUACCAAAAAAACAAAAAAAAAAUGACCUAGUCUGAAGAAUUUUCUCCUAGGAUAUUUUGAAAAAAAUAAAGAAGUCUAAAUUUGAAAAAAAGGGGUCUUUUUUUAGUUUUCUUAAGAUUAUCAAUGAUUAGUUUUCCUGAAAUUAGGGGGCCCCGCCUGGAGAAUAGGGUCAGUUUUUACUUUAGUCAAGCUUAGUUUAUAGUUUUCCUAGUCUAUUUUUUAGUUUACUCUCAUCAUUGCAUCAAUAGUACAAAAGGUUUACAAUUUUGCUAACAACUCACAAAUCUUCCUAGUGCAAACUGGGGCAGAAAAAAUUUCUUUUGUUUUGUCUGUUUUGUUGUAAUCAGGCACCCACCUGGAGAACAAGGGAAGACAACUCAAGUUUCAAGAGAAAACAGUGUCAAGUAACAAGAGAAGACGGUUCAAGUUCAGCAAUCAGGCGUCCGCCUGGAAAAUAAGAGAAUUCAAUUCAGAAUGAAAUUCAGGUCAGCAACAAAAGAAGCUCGCGUCAAGAAUGCGAGUCAGCGGUCCGAGAUGAUCAACAAAAGUUUGUUACAAUCCAGAAUAAAAAUAAAAUAAAAACAACAAAAAGAAAGACAAGAAGUGAAUCCAAAUGCAGAAUUUAAUGAAAGAUAUGAGCUGCUCAAGACAGGGCUGAGGUCACAAGCUCUGCAUGUCCCGUCUUGGUUUGAAAAGCCGAAGAAGAUUGAACCAACACCUGCAGCUAAUAAGCAUCAAGAUUCAGAUCAGGGUUCGCAUGAAGAACCAACCAAGACUCAAGAUCAAGCUUCAGAAGACUCAUAGAUAGGAAUCUUGUAACUUGUAAUUGAUAGGCUUAGUUAGUCUUUUUCAUUUUUGGUUUUGAUGUAAUAACAGGACCGCUGACCGGAACCUCAGCGGAACGACACGUCGCUCGGCUCUCCACCUCGGCACUCUCUAUCAUCUCACUCACCUCUGAACUACACGUGGCCUGAUUCCUUUAUAGCCAAGGAUAUGUAGGCAUCUCAGAUACCAGGGCUCGGUCACAUUCCCCUCUCUCUCUUAGUUUUAGUCUCUCCAAAUAAGGGUCGGGUCAAAAAAUCUGUCUAGUCGUUCUUUGUCUGAAAAUACUUCAUCUUUCCAGUCAAAGAGGGGCAGCUGUAGACAUGUGAUUUUUGACCCUCCCCAAGAUUUUUCAUAUUUUAGCACGUAUAUAUUUAUUUUAGGCCUAAUAUAGCUAUUUCAACUCAUUUUUACUCUUUUACUUUAUUUUAUUACAAGAAAAAUCAAAAUUACAAAAAUUGUUCCAUUAAUGUUUUGUAGUCAUUUUUAAUUUUGAAAAUACCAAAAAAAAAAAUAAUAGUUUAUUUUAACGGUCAGUCUUAUUUUAACAUUUAUUUAUUUAAGUAGGAUUAAUUAAUAAAUGAGAUCGUAUUUUAAUCUUNNNNNNNNNNNNNNNNNNNAAAAAAAAAAAUAAUAGUUUAUUUUAACGGUCAGUCUUAUUUUAACAUUUAUUUUAUUUAAGUAGGAUUAAUUAAUAAAUGAGAUCGUAUUUUAAUCUUGUUCGCGAGGAAAGAAUAAAAUUUGGGUUCGAGCAACCCAUCUUUAGGCCUAAUUUUUGGACCUAGUCCAUAAUUACCAAGCCCAUAAUUCCUAGGCCCACACCCCUAACCUAAUACUUAAUCCCUACAUAGAAAAGAGAGACCUAGCGAGUUCCCCCUGCCGUCCCCAUCUGCUAGACACCCAAAAUCAAAAAGAUUCAACACACAGAGGAAACGGACGCUGAAAAGAAAAGAAGCAAUAGCCGCAAGAGAUAAAAAUAGACGAGAAGGCAUAUUGUGUUUUUGUUCUGAAAUUUCAGCCAAAAGCGGUCGAAUUUCUCCUUUUCUCCGUUCAAAUUGUUCAUUGCUUAAUUACCUGGAGAAAAGUGGAAUGAUAAAUGUUUGGCUCUAAGCUAUCCAACGACCGUCACCAUUUGGCAAUUGUAGCCAAUGCUUUUGAUUCUCGUUCACUCCUCUUCUUUAGUCUUCACCGGAAAAACUUAACCUCUUAUCUUUCGAUCUCAAAAGCUUUCAGUAUUUCGCCGGUGAAAUUACCUCUCUUCUCCCAAAUCUCUUUUCGGUGCCGAUUCGAGUUCCCGUCCGCAGUUCGUCAUAUUUUUGAGUUCAAAGCAGUGAAACGAUCAAAUUUCAGCUAUAUUGAGGUCCAAUUAUUUUAUAUAUAUUUAUCUGUCUUUCUUAAAUUUGCUGCUUGUUGAACGACUUCACGAAAUGCUAUCAUGGUUGAUAUUAUCUUUUGCGUAUUAAUUUAUUCUCAAUUGAGCAAUUGCUAUGUUUGAAUCAGUGCCUUUUCAAUUUGGAACAUGAAAAAUGAACUGGUUUUGAGUUGCUGGGAUAUAAUAUUAUUCUUAAAUCUCAUGCUAAAUUUUCGAUGUAUGCCUAUCAUUGUUUAUUCUGAACUAACAUGCUAAAUGGUUGUUUUAAAUUAUACUUUUUCUUCUCUUGUGUUUACAUGGUUCACUGCGAGAAAUUUUGUAAUGAAUGUGUU